ensembl:lncRNA
UGUAAGCUUGUUAUAACUGCCAUACCAGCUAUGGCCAGGAGCUGUAGCUGGGCUGGUGGCCCAUGCCUGUGAUCCCAGCACUUAUGAGGCUGAUACAGAAGAAUCGCCCAUGUGUCUGUUGCUUGCCCAGCUACCUGGAAAAGCCUGUCUUCAGACAACAUGGAACUUAGAACCACAAGCCCGUCCCGAUGUUGCAAUAAGUUUGGCCUUUGGAGAUUGGAGCCAGUUCACUGAGUUGAUUAGUCCACCCCUGCCAUCCUGGGGACCGUGAGUGAGACAGACGACCUUUCCCUCAGUGCACAUCCAAGAAUGUGUAUUGAGUUUGGGACCACAAGUCAUGGAGACGGAGCUAAGUAAGUCAGAAAAUCUCCCUUCUCCUGAGAAACCGUAUUUUAGGAGAAUCCUACAGGACUGAGGACUAUGAAGAGAGCUAAAGCAGAGCCAACAUGGGCUAGUGAGAAGGGUCAGAGGGUAGAGGCACUUACUGUCAGGGCUGAUAACCUGAGUUCUGUCCCCAGAAGCCGUCCCACAAGUUGUCCUCUGACAAUCACCAUUCUGUGGCAUGCUCCCCACUCCCACUUCCACACAGCCUCACCGACCGCAUCAACACACACACACACACACACACACACACACACACACACACGCAUACGCACGCGAGC